AUGCUGGGAAGUCGUGAGAGGGUGGACAGCAAUUCCUUCAGAAGCUUCGAGCAAUUUGUAGCCAAAAGAGUAUUUCUGUUGUAUUCAGAUAUAAGCCCUGUAUUCAACAUAAACAAGUCAUUGAAUAAACUGGCAGUCAUGUUCACGGGGACUGAGACGUCCUGCGCCGAGAGUCGCCGCGGCUUCCUGCUUCAACAGUGCUUGGACGGAACCCGGCGCUCGUCUGUCGCCCCGGCUGACCGCUCCGAGCCAGCCCUCCACCUCCGCCACCGCCUCGCCGCGUCCCUGCCCGUCCUCAGCCGCCGCCAUGACGACCGCGUCCACCUCGCAGGUGCGCCAGAACUACCACCAGGACUCGGAGGCCGCCAUCAACCGCCAGAUCAACCUGGAGCUCUACGCCUCCUACUUCUACCUGUCCGUGUCAUACUACUUUGACCGCGAUGAUGUGGCUUUGAAGAACUUUGCCAAAUACUUCUUCACCAAUCUCAUGAGGAGAGGGAGCAUGCUGGGAAACUGAUGAAGCUGCAAAACCAACGCGGUGGCCGCAUCUUCCUUCAGGACAUCAAGAAACCAGACUGUGAUGGCUGGGAGAACGGGCUGAAUGCCAUGGAGUGUGCAUCACGCUUGGGAAAAAACGUGAACCAGUCACGACUGGAACUGCACAAACUGGCUACUGACAAAAACGACCCCCACUCGUGUGACUUCAUUGAGACACAUUACCUGAAUGAGCAGGUGAAAUCCAUCAAAGAAUUGGGUGACUACGUACCCAACUUGCACAAGACGGGAGCCCCCGAAUCUGGCAUGGCAGAAUAUCUCUUUGACAAGCACACCCUGGGAGAGCGUGAUGACAGCUAAACCUUGGGCUGAUUUCCCCAUAGCUACUGGGUGACUUUCCUGGUCACCAAGGCAGUCCAUGCAUGUUGGGGUUUCCUUUGCCUUUUCUAUAGGUUGCACCAAAAUGUCCACUUCAGUUCUUUGAUUUGUACCAUUCCUUCAAAUAAAGAAAUUUGGUACCCAAAAAAAAA